rnacentral:lncRNA from 1 species
GCGUAGCGAGAACGUCCACUACCUAGCUAUACACACGUACCGAGUCCGUGAUUGCAGAUACUCGGACGACCGGCAUAGCUAACCCUCCGGAGGUUUAGGGGAUCGAACCCAAGGAAGUCAGUGCCCCUUUCGCUCUCAAGCCAUCACAUCUCUCACAAUUUGGUUAGUAUGCAUUGCAUUUUAACAUAACCAAACCGUACCACCCAUCAUGCAUAUUUUAACACAAGAUAUAAAGAAACAACUAACCGAGGAGAGUCCUGAAUCCCUACCUGGAUUCCGAUGCUUUCUCUCACGUACUCCGAGAGUCGCG